GAAGGUGUGGCUCAAGUGGUAGAGCACCUUCCUACCAAGUAGGGGGCACUUGAGUUCAAAUCCCAGUACUGCCA
rnacentral:tRNA from 1 species